rnacentral:rRNA from 1 species
AACGAACGCUGGCGGCGCGCCUAAUACAUGCAAGUCGAACGAGAAGGUGGUAGCAAUACACUUGUACAGUGGCGAACGGGUGAGGAAUGCAUGGGCAACCUACCGUCGAGUGGGGAAUAACCAGCCGAAAGGUUGGCUAAUACCGCGUACGCUUCCGGGUCUCCGGAAUCCGGGAAGGAAAGUCACACCGUAGGGUGUUGACGCUCAAGGA